UUAAUUGAAGAGUUUGAUCAUGGCUCAGAUUGAACGCUGGCGGCAGGCCUAACACAUGCAAGUCGAGCGGCAGCACAGAGGAACUUGUUCCUCGGGUGGCGAGCGGCGGACGGGUGAGUAAUGCCUGGGAAAUUGCCCGGUAGAGGGGGAUAACCAUUGGAAACGAUGGCUAAUACCGCAUAACCUCGCAAGAGCAAAGCAGGGGACCUUCGGGCCUUGCGCUACCGGAUAUGCCCAGGUGGGAUUAGCUAGUUGGUGAGGUAAGGGCUCACCAAGGCGACGAUCCCUAGCUGGUCUGAGAGGAUGAUCAGCCACACUGGAACUGAGACACGGUCCAGACUCCUACGGGAGGCAGCAGUGGGGAAUAUUGCACAAUGGGCGCAAGCCUGAUGCAGCCAUGCCGCGUGUAUGAAGAAGGCCUUCGGGUUGUAAAGUACUUUCAGUAGGGAGGAAGGUGGUUAAG
rnacentral:rRNA from 1 species